rnacentral:rRNA from 1 species
CACGGAGUUAGCCGAUCCUUAUUCUUACGAUACCGUCAAGACAUUACACGUAAUGUUGUUUCUUCUCGUAUAAAAGCAGUUUACAAUCCAUAGGACCGUCAUCCUGCACGCGGCAUGGCUGGAUCAGGCUUGCGCCCAUUGUCCAAUAUUCCUCACUGCUGCCUCCCGUAGGAGUCUGGUCCGUGUCUCAGUACCAGUGUGGGGGAUCUCCCUCUCAGGACCCCUACCCAUCGUAGCCUUGGUAAGCCGUUACCUUACCAACUAGCUAAUGGGACGCAUGCUCAUCUUUCACCGUUGUGACUUUAAUAUAAUCCUGAUGCCAGGUCUAUAUACUAUGAGGUAUUAAUCCAAAUUUCUCUGGGCUAUCCCUCUGUGAAAGGUAGAUUGCAUACGCGUUACGCACCCGUGCGCCGGUCUCUAGCUCCGAAGAACUAUACCCCUCGACUUGCAUGUGUUAAGCCUGCCGCUAGCGUUCAUCCUGAGCCAGGUA